rnacentral:rRNA from 1 species
UACGUAGGGGGGCUAGCGUUGUCCGGAUUUAUUGGGCGUAAAGAGCGUGUAGGCGGCCAGGUAGGUCUGCUGUGAAAACUCGAGGCUCAACCUCGAGACGUCGGCGGAAAACCAUCUGGCUAGAGUCCGGAAGAGGAGAGUGGAAUUCCUGGUGUAGCGGUGAAAUGCGCAGAUAUCAGGAAGAACACCCGUGGCGAAGGCGGCUCUCUGGGACGGUACUGACGCUGAGACGCGAAAGCGUGGGGAGC